rnacentral:rRNA from 1 species
GAUGAACGCUGGCGGCGUGCCUAAUACAUGCAAGUCGAGCGAACGGACGAGAAGCUUGCUUUUCUGAUGUUAGCGGCGGACGGGUGAGUAACACGUGGAUAACCUACCUAUAAGACUGGGAUAACUUCGGGAAACCGGAGCUAAUACCGGAUAAUAUUUUGAACCGCAUGGUUCAAAAGUGAAAGACGGUCCUGCUGUCACUUAUAGAUGGAUCCGCGCUGCAUUAGCUAGUUGGUAAGGUAACGGCUUACCAAGGCAACGAUGCAUAGCCGACCUGAGAGGGUGACCGGCCACACUGGAACUGAGACACGGUCCAGACUCCUACGGGAGGCAGCAGUAGGGAAUCUUCCGCAAUGGGCAAAAGCCUGACGGAGCAACGCCGCGUGAGUGAUGAAGGUCUUCGGAUCGUAAAACUCUGUUAUUAGGGAAGAACAUAUGUGUAAGUAACUGUGCACAUCUUGACGGUACCUAAUCAGAAAGCCACGGCUAACUACGUG